rnacentral:sRNA from 1 species
ACUGGGUGCUGUGGUGCACACCUGUAAUCCCAGCAGCUCAGAGGCUGAGGCAGGAGGAUUAUGAGUUUAAGCCAGCCUCAGCAAUUUAACAAGGUUCUAAGCAAUUCAGUGAGACCCUGCUUCUA